rnacentral:rRNA from 1 species
AGAGUUUGAUCCUGGCUCAGGAUGAACGCUGGCGGCGUGCUUAACACAUGCAAGUCGAGCGGAAGCAAAGACACGGAAUUUUUCGGAAGGAAGUGUGUUAGCUUUAGCGGCGGACGGGUGAGUAACGCGUGGAUAACCUGCCUCAUACAGGGGGAUAACAGUUAGAAAUGACUGCUAAUACCGCAUAAGCACACGGGAGCGCAUGCUUCCGGGUGAAAAGCUCCGGCGGUAUGAGAUGGAUCCGCGUCUGAUUAGCUGGUUGGCGGGGUAACGGCCCACCAAGGCGACGAUCAGUAGCCGACCUGAGAGGGUGGCCGGCCACAUUGGGACUGAGACACGGCCCAAACUCCUACGGGAGGCAGCAGUGGGGAAUAUUGCACAAUGGGGGAAACCCUGAUGCAGCAACGCCGCGUGGGUGAAGAAGUAUUUCGGUAUGUAAAGCCCUAUCAGCAGGGAAGAGAAUGACGGUACCUGACUAAGAAGCCCCGGCUAACUACGUG